AGCGCGACGGGAUCGACCGCACGCGUCAGAACCAGGUAGUCGCGGAGCACGAUCGCCUGACGGUUCUC
rnacentral:sRNA from 1 species